rnacentral:rRNA from 1 species
AACGGGGGGGCUGGCGAUAUUCAUCAUGGACUGGGCGUAUAGGGAUUGUAGGUGGGUUUAUUUAAUUAAAGGUUAAAAGCUAUAGCUUGCUCAUGCAAGUUCUUUGAUAUUAGAUAAUUCUUGUGUAUUAUGGUAGUAUGUGGUAUUCUCGGUGGAGAGGGUAAUAUGCAGGGAUAUCGAUGAAGACUAACUGAAGCAAAGGCGAUGUGCUACGUUUUAAACAGACACUAAGGAUCUAAAGUAUGGGCGCAAACAGG